UUUGGUUCUCAGCUUCGGUCACAGAUCAGCUGAAAUAUGAACAUUUUCCUUGGUGGAAGUGCUGUCUGACGCUCACCAGGGUCCUCAGAGCUCUGAGCAUCAGAUGAUACCGAGCCGUUCCUGGACGAUGAUGUUCAAGAUGUGAAUCAGACCAGAUAUGACACCUGAAAUGCAAAAGAGACUCAUUUCAUAGAGAUGGAAUAAUUUUGUCAAAAUCUCCUCUGGACGUUUACCCGCAUCGCGAGUGUCGAUGAUAAACUCUGCUGGCUCGAAG